rnacentral:rRNA from 1 species
AGUGAACGCUGGCGGUAGGCCUAACACAUGCAAGUCGAACGGCAGCACAGUAAGAGCUUGCUCUUACGGGUGGCGAGUGGCGGACGGGUGAGGAAUACAUCGGAAUCUACUUUUUCGUGGGGGAUAACGUAGGGAAACUUACGCUAAUACCGCAUACGACCUACGGGUGGAAGCAGGGGAUCUUCGGACCUUGCGCGACUGAAUGAGCCGAUGUCGGAUUAGCUAGUUGGCGGGGUAAAGGCCCACCAAGGCGACGAUCCGUAGCUGGUCUGAGAGGAUGAUCAGCCACACUGGAACUGAGACACGGUCCAGACUCCUACGGGAGGCAGCAGUGGGGAAUAUUGGACAAUGGGCGCAAGCCUGAUCCAGCCAUACCGCGUGGGUGAAGAAGGCCUUCGGGUUGUAAAGCCCUUUUGUUGGGAAAGAAAAGCAGCAGGUUAAUACCCCGCUGUUCUGACGGUACCCAAAGAAUAAGCACCGGCUAACUUCGUG